rnacentral:pre_miRNA from 1 species
UAACAUCCACAGGCUGGCUGGCUCUCAGACUGGGCUGGGUGAGUAUCUCUUUGAAAGGCUCACUCUCAAGCAUGACUAGGAGC